UGCCCAUCUAUCUAAAAUGGUUUUCAUACUUAUCGUGGUUUCGAUAUGGCAAUGAAGCACUUUUAAUUAAUCAGUGGGCAGAUAUUGAAUCAAUCAAUUGUACAAGAAGUAAUGUAACCUGUCCGAAAUCUGGCUUAAUGGUGUUACAAACUCUAAACUUUAACAAGGACUUCUUUUGGAUGGACAUUUGCGCUUUAGUUGUGCUUAUAAUUGUAUUUCGUAUUGUUUCUCUACUAGCAUUAAUUUCCAAAACAUUUAAGAAAAGAAAUUAAAAAUUUACUAUUAGCAUUAUUCAAUCAAAUUUGUUUAUUCAUAUGUGUCUGUAAAAGUAAUACUAUAGCAUCAUGGAGAAUGUAUACAAAACUGACCUUGAGCCUGAAACGGUCACGGCACUUCUCGGUCCGGUGCAAAUAUUGGAUUUAUAUUAUUAUUGGAAAACUGUUAACAUUAACUGCCCUGUGUCGUAAUUCUGACGACAAGUCAAAAAAGAGAAAGAAAGAAAGAAUGUAAUUAAUGAUUUUAGUAUAGGUCAGGUCCGGGAUACCAGGUAGUGGAGUUUUAUCAAAAUAAUAAGAUCUUGUUGUAUGUUUAAAUAGCAAAUGAAAUAUAUCCAAUGAAUCAUUUUUUAUGGAGAAUAUUGCGUAAAUUGAAAUGCGCAAGCGUUUAUUUUGGUGAAAUACAAUUUAUAAUUAGAUGCGCGUGAAUUGCGUUAUCUUAUUCUACUCGAAUUAAGUUUAUCAAUAUACGAAUUUUGCUAUGUUAAAUCAAAGUCUAAAUUGUC